AGGUUUGCACAGUGGCAGUAUUGUAGCCAAUGAGGUUUAUCCAAGGCACGAUUAUUGCUAAUUGGAAACUUUUCCCGAUGCCCCACCAUGACGACUUGAAAUGUAGUUGGCACUGGUAAUUUUUGACAGUCUCUAUGGAGA
rnacentral:snRNA from 1 species